rnacentral:tRNA from 1 species
UUAUAAAAAAAUGAAAUUAAUUUUACAAUGAAAAUGUAAGGUUUUUUUUAAACUAUAUAAAUACACGGAAAAGAAAU